rnacentral:misc_RNA from 1 species
UCCUGCUCCAAUGUAUGCUGAAAAAUCGCAAUAUGACAGCACUCACAAAACCAAAAUAAACUAGCAUAAUAAAUGCUGAUAUAACUAACACCAUUAAACACACAACACCUCUUAUCAUCCUUAGUGGGGUCAAAGCACGAUCCCUGGUUCCAUCAGCAGAGCCUACAGCCCCUCGAAUUUCCAUGUGCUCAUAAACCUGGCUACAACCUCCUCGUUAAAAGUAAAAUACUUCCCUCCUCAAAUCUCUCUGAACAAGAUUGUUAAGUCUCAUACAGACAUAGCUUGCCAAAGCUCCCAGUCAGUGCAAGGAUGCUACACAGUGGAGUGAAAUAUUAGCUCUAUGCACAAUCUCCAAGUCACGAAACACCUGGCAGAGACUCAUUGGGAUAAAAGAAACCAUUACUGAUCAAUAUGGCAACAAAUUGGCACAAUAUAUGCAUGUAAAGAAGCUAGCAAUAGAAAAGGACACAAUCCCACUGUGCUAAAUGAAAUCAGAAAUAGAACAUCUGCGGUAACAAAUUUAACAAACUAAAUAAAUAUACAUAGUAUGCUAGGAAAGACUGAUUACAAGCUAAAAGGUCCAUACACUGACUAGUUCAAUAGCUUGGAAAUGAAAAAAAUACAGAAACAACAGGCAUUAUGUUAAUGCUCUUAACAGCAAAGAUGUUUCAGUAACUUCAAACAAAACAUUUCUGAAUACAAAUUAGUUCACAUAGUUCUUUCCUACAGCGAUCCCACUGAAUUGCCAAAUUAACUAAUUUAAGUCUAAG